UCUUUCUUUCUUUCUUUCUUUUCCUUAACACCGAAUAUGUUGCUAGACUUUUAAUGGAUUCCUUUGUGUUUGGGGAUAAUUUUUUAAAUUCUUUCAUACCCUGAGAACACGACCAGUUGAAAACCAACUUUAAACUCCUUUGAGCUUUACAAUUUUCUGCUUUGUUCCUUUCUCUAGAGAUCUGCGAGCCAACGCCACCAAUUGGCCUCAGAAUGACCCUUUGUCCUCUCAAGUGUCAAUAGCACCAGUCCAUAGCUAGGGAGAAAAAUACUGCCAGAGUCAGGCAGACCAAACCUUAUAGGAAGAUGGGACACUGUUAGUUGCUGAUGCUCCUCUCCCUGGGAAAAUGUGAGCAAUGCCCACCCAUCUCAGCUGGGCACCAGCAAUAGACCAAAGUAAUGAUUCCACUGAAGCCUAGACUGAGCUAGAAAACUCAACUUUGUCUUGGAAGACUGUGUGCCGUAUAAGAAGGAACAAAACUGAGAAUUAGGAAAUCCUGACUUCAUGAACCGUUGUGUACCAUUUAAGUGUGGUUGUUACUAUUAAUAAGAACUGGAAGCGCAUUCAAAUUGGUUCUCUCCACUGUCUUGACCCUGAAGGUGAGCCACGUGGGGUGGAUCCUGGAUUUUCAGUCUUUCCGGCAGUGAGAUAAAGACUGCUGGUCGCAUUCAGGAAACAAAUCCUCUUCUGGGCAAAGACUCAUCAGGCAGCACCAGACUUCUCAGGGGUUGCAGGUCACUUCCGUGUUUUUAUACACCAGUGCUGCAGUGAAAGGGUGAAGCUUUGGGCAUUGUCAGCCAUAGCAGAAUCCAGAGAUGUCUUGAGAUGCGACUGAGGAAGACAUUGUCAUAACCUUUGGUUGAUCAUGAGGCUUGAUUCGCCUUUCACAGUCACAAAGCCAGCAAGAGGCUAGAGUUUGGCUGCCUAUUUCUUUGCCCAGUGCUCCUGGGGUGCCCAUUGUUUCCCACAUCUUAUAAGGUAUCUGUGAUGGUUAAUCCUGAUUGCUAAUUUAAAGGGAUUUGAAAUUCCCAUGGAAACAAAUCUCUGGUCAUGUCUU